rnacentral:rRNA from 1 species
UACAGAGGGGGCAAGCGUUGUUCGGAAUUACUGGGCGUAAAGGGCGCGUAGGCGGCCUUCUAAGUCGAACGUGAAAUCCCCGGGCUCAACCCGGGAACUGCGUCCGAUACUGGAAGGCUUGAAUCCGGGAGAGGGAUGCGGAAUUCCAGGUGUAGCGGUGAAAUGCGUAGAUAUCAGGAGGAACACCGGUGGCGAAGGCGGCUCUCUGGGACGGUACUGACGCUGAGACGCGAAAGCGUGGGGAGCGAACAGG